UGGGUCCUGUCAAUCCCCACA
rnacentral:misc_RNA from 1 species